GCGAACGCUGGCGGCAGGCUUAACACAUGCAGGUCGAGCGGGCCCUUCGGGGUCAGCGGCGGACGGGUGAGUAACGCGUGGGAACGUGCCUUCUGGUCUGGAAUAACCCUGGGAAACUAGGGCUAAUACCGGAUACGCCCUUUUGGGGAAAGGUUUACUGCCGGAAGAUCGGCCCGCGUCUGAUUAGCUAGUUGGUGGGGUAACGGCCUACCAAGGCGACGAUCAGUAGCUGGUCUGAGAGGAUGAUCAGCCACACUGGGACUGAGACACGGCCCAGACUCCUACGGGAGGCAGCAGUGGGGAAUAUUGGACAAUGGGCGCAAGCCUGAUCCAGCCAUGCCGCGUGAGUGAUGAAGGCCUUAGGGUUGUAAAGCUCUUUUAUCCGGGACGAUAAUGACGGUACCGGAGGAAUAAGCCCCGGCUAACUUCGUG
rnacentral:rRNA from 1 species